ACAUGGACCCCCAAUGCUUUGUGAUACACUUUCAACGAGUCGAGUUGUUUGGGAAUGCAGCUCAAAAUGGGUGGUGAAUUCCAUCUAAAGCUAAAUAUUGGCGAGAGACCGAUAGCGAACAAGUACCGUGAGGGAAAGAUGAAAAGCACUUUGGAAAGAGAGUUAAACAGUACGUGAAAUUGUUGAAAGGGAAACGAUUGAAGUCAGUCAUGCUCUUUGGAUU
rnacentral:rRNA from 1 species